GCAAAUGAAGGUAUAAAUUUAACAAAUAAAUAAAUAUUUUAUGAAUAAAUUUUAAUAUGAUUGAAAUAAAAUCUUGUUUUGUAUAGGGCCUCUUCUUGGAACCAACAACUGCAACGAAAAUCUCAAUUUUAUCUGUGAAGGAAGAUUACGUUCUAAGGAUAAUAAUAUAUUAACCUCAAUUAUCAAAGAAUGCACGGGAGUGAACAAAUUGAGCCAAAGAGAAAUUAAUAUGUUUACGAGAGAGCAGUUCAACAGAUUUUCAUACAAAAUGAAA